UACAGAGGUCCCAAGCGUUGUUCGGAUUCACUGGGCGUAAAGGGUGCGUAGGUGGCGAGGUAAGUCGGAUGUGAAAUCUCGGAGCUCAACUCCGAAACGGCAUUGGAAACUACCUUGCUAGAGGGUUGGAGGGGGGACUGGAAUUCUCGGUGUAGCAGUGAAAUGCGUAGAUAUCGAGAGGAACACCAGUGGCGAAGGCGAGUCCCUGGACAACUCCUGACACUGAGGCACGAAAGCUAGGGGAGCAAACAGG
rnacentral:rRNA from 1 species